UGCGGAAUUUUAGAUAAUGGCGGGAACUCUGAUCUAGCGACGCCGCGUGCAGGAAGAAGGUCUUCGGAUUGUAAACUGCUGUGGUAAGGGAAAAAUGCUAUGUAGAGUGGAAGGCUACAUAGAGGGAUGGUACCUUACUAGAAAGCCCCGGCUAACUACGUGCCAGCAGCCGCGGUAAUACGUAGGGGGCGAGCGUUACCCGGAAUCACUGGGCGUAAAGGGAGCGUAGGUGGCCUAACAUGUCAACUGUGAAAACCCGGAGCUCAACUCCGGACUUGCAGUUGAAACUGGUAGGCUUGAGGACGGUAGAGGAAGACGGAACUGCCAGUGUAGGGGUAAAAUCCUUAGAUAUUGGCAGGAACGCCGGUGACGAAGGUGGUUUUCUGGGCCGGUUCUGUCACUGAUGCUCGAAAGCCAGGGGAGCGAACGG
rnacentral:rRNA from 1 species